AUCCACAGGCACACUACCCUGAGCACCUGGUCUCAGAAGCUAAGCAGGGUUCGGCCUUGUUAAUA
rnacentral:rRNA from 1 species